rnacentral:rRNA from 1 species
GUUGGUGGUCAUUGUUAUUUUUUCCCCGUCCCUUUCCGAACCCGGAAGCUAAGCCCGAUUGCGCUGAUGGUACUGCACCUGGGAGGGUGUGGGAGAGUAGGUCGCCGCCAACC